UACGGGGGGGAGCAAGCGUUGUUCGGAUUUACUGGGCGUAAAGGGCGCGUAGGCGGCGUGACAAGUCACUUGUGAAAUCUCCGGGCUUAACUCGGAGCGGCCAAGUGAUACUGUCGUGCUAGAGUGCGGAAGGGGCUACUGGAAUUCUCGGUGUAGCGGUGAAAUGCGUAGAUAUCGAGAGGAACACCUGCGGCGAAGGCGGGUAGCUGGGCCGACACUGACGCUGAGGCGCGAAAGCUAGGGGAGCGAACGGG
rnacentral:rRNA from 1 species